rnacentral:rRNA from 1 species
GAUGAACGCUGGCGGCGUGCCUAAUACAUGCAAGUCGAGCGAACGGACGAGAAGCUUGCUUCUCUGAUGUUAGCGGCGGACGGGUGAGUAACACGUGGAUAACCUACCUAUAAGACUGGUAUAACUUCGGGAAACCGGAGCUAAUACCGGAUAAUAUUUUGAACCUCAUGGUUCAAAAGUGAAAGACGGUCUUGCUGUCACUUAUAGAUGGAUCCGCGCUGCAUUAACUAGUUGGUAAGGUAACGGCUUACCAAGGCAACGAUGCAUAGCCGACCUGAGAGGGUGAUCGGCCACACUGGAACUGAGACACGGUCCAGACUCCUACGGGAGGCAGCAGUAGGGAAUCUUCCGCAAUGGGCGAAAGCCUGACGGAGAAACGCCGCGUGAGUGAUGAAGGUCUUCGGAUCGUAAAACUCUGUUAUUAGGGAAGAACAUAUGUGUAAGUAAAUGUGCACAUCUUGACGGUACCUAAUCAGAAAGCCACGGCUAACUACGUG